GACGAGCGCUGGCGGCGUGCUUAACACAUGCAAGUCGAACGGAAAGGCCCUGCUUUUGUGGGGUGCUCGAGUGGCGAACGGGUGAGUAACACGUGAGUAACCUGCCCUUGACUUUGGGAUAACUUCAGGAAACUGGGGCUAAUACCGGAUAGGAGCUCCUGCUGCAUGGUGGGGGUUGGAAAGUUUCGGCGGUUGGGGAUGGACUCGCGGCUUAUCAGCUUGUUGGUGGGGUAGUGGCUUACCAAGGCUUUGACGGGUAGCCGGCCUGAGAGGGUGACCGGCCACAUUGGGACUGAGAUACGGCCCAGACUCCUACGGGAGGCAGCAGUGGGGAAUAUUGCACAAUGGGUGGAAGCCUGAUGCAGCAACGCCGCGUGCGGGAUGACGGCCUUCGGGUUGUAAACCGCUUUCGCCUGUGACGAAGCGUGAGUGACGGUAAUGGGUAAAGAAGCACCGGCUAACUACGUG
rnacentral:rRNA from 1 species